GCUAAACGCGAAGAACCUUACCUACUCUUGACAUCCAGGGAACUUAGCAGAGAUGCUUUGGUGCCUUCGGGAACUCUGAGACAGGUGCUGCAUGGCUGUCGUCAGCUCGUGUUGUGAAAUGUUGGGUUAAGUCCCGCAACGAGCGCAACCCUUAUCCUUUGUUGCCAGCGGUCCGGCCGGGAACUCAAAGGAGACUGCCAGUGAUAAACUGGAGGAAGGUGGGGAUGACGUCAAGUCAUCAUGGCCCUUACGAGUAGGGCUACACACGUGCUACAAUGGCGUAUACAAAGAGAAGCGACCUCGCGAGAGCAAGCGGACCUCAUAAAGUACGUCGUAGUCCGGAUUGGAGUCUGCAACUCGACUCCAUGAAGUCGGAAUCGCUAGUAAUCGUAGAUCAGAAUGCUACGGUGAAUACGUUCCCGGGUCUUGUACACACCG
rnacentral:rRNA from 1 species